CCCUUAGAUGUUCUGGGCCGCACGCGCGCUACACUGACGAAUGCAACGAGCUUAUAACCUUGGCCGAAAGGUCUGGGUAAUCUCCAAAUUUCGUCGUGAUGGGGAUAGAUUAUUGCUAUUAUUAAUCUUCAACGAGGAAUGCCUAGUAAGCGCAAGUCAUCAGCUUGCGUUGAUUACGUCCCUGCCCUUUGUACACACCGCCCGUCGCUCCUACCGAUUGAAUGGUCCGGUGAAGCGUUCGGACCGUGGCCUUUGGACGGUUCGCCGUCUGUUGGCUGCGGGAAGUUCGUUAAACCUUAUCAUUUAGAGGAAGGAGAAGUCGUAACA
rnacentral:rRNA from 1 species